rnacentral:rRNA from 2 species
AAAACUAGCCAUUCUUUUGGGUAUGAAACCCAUUUGGGCGAGAGUAGUACCAGGAUGGGUGACCUCCUGGGAAGUCCUCGUGAAAGGGUUUC